GUGACACAGUGAUGUGGCCAUGGGGUCUGUGCAGACUGACCUGGCCUGUUUCAAAAUUUAAAUUUUGUUUUAAGUCAUAAAAGGGCUACAAAAGCCUUACACUAAAUAAGAAAAACUAUCCCAUCCGGGGGCCUAAUCCCUGCCCCGUUCUGCUCGGCUUGCCUCCCUCAUUAUACUUGUAUAAUACAGUAUGGUUUCUAUCGCGUAUUUCCUUCCUGUUUUUACACUUAUUCUUGCUUCACUGACUUUAUUAUCGGCAGAAUUUUGCAGCAUUUUUUUUACACAGCCAUAAAUACUCUUCAAUUCAACAAAUGCAUACAAAUGGUUUCCAUUAGAAUUUUAAUCUACUCUCAAAAUGAAAGAAAAGCUUAAUAUAAAUCUUUUUAAAUUACCAGAACAUAAAUUCACACAGGGACAGUUCCUCCUAGGCCACGCACAAGGGGUCGCAUCCUGCCGUCCUCCCUCAGAAAUUAAUUGAGCUCUCUUGCCGCCGUAAACGAACAGUGCAUCUGGAAAGAUCGUAUCUGUCAAGAUUGCAGAUUGGUUUCCCUCAGACUUUGUAAAAGUCACAGCUUACAAUACGUUCAUUAUACCGAUGAGAAUGGCUGUCCUCCCAACUGGAAAGAAAUAGGUGUUUUGUUCUGUUGGACCAAGAUUUACAGAAAGCAAUUUUCCUCCAUGCAGGAGAUAUGACAAACCUGCUGGAAAAAAAUGUCAUUUCACAACUUCUUUCAUUUCAUCACCUUUUUUUACUGCUAGAUGUAGAUUCUCUCCCCUGUGCGAACGGGCUGUAGUGACAUUUAAUGGCUAAGUGAGGGAGUCACCAAUGAGUGGAGGCACCUUUCUGAGGGGCUAAGGAACACCUGGGCGACGUCCCCCUCCUGGCUGCUGUGAAUAAUGCUGCUCUGAGCAUGAGUGUGGAGCGUCUGUUUACAAAGGAGAUGGUCAGACAGUA
rnacentral:lncRNA from 10 species